AAUCUUACACAAUGGGCGCAAGCCUGAUCUAGCGAUGCCGCGUGAGUGACGAAGGUCUUCGGAUCNUAAAGCUCUUUCGCCUGUGANGAUAAUGACAGUAGCAGGUAAAGAAACCCCGGCUAACUCCGUGCCAGCAGCCGCGGUAAUACGGAGGGGGUUAGCGUUGUUCGGAAUUACUGGGCGUAAAGCGCACGUAGGCGGAUUAGUCAGUCAGAGGUGAAAUCCCAGGGCUCAACCCUGGAACUGCCUUUGAUACUGCUAGUCUUGAGUUCGAGAGAGGUAAGUGGAAUUCCGAGUGUAGAGGUGAAAUUCGUAGAUAUUCGGAGGAACACCAGUGGCGAAGGCGACUUACUGGCUCGAUACUGACGCUGAGGUGCGAAGGCGUGGGGAGCAAACAGG
rnacentral:rRNA from 1 species